rnacentral:rRNA from 1 species
AUUGAACGCUGGCGGCAUGCUUUACACAUGCAAGUCGAACGGUAACAGGCCUUCGGGUGCUGACGAGUGGCGAACGGGUGCGUAAUGCAUCGGAACGUACCCAGAGGUGGGGGAUAACGCAGCGAAAGCUGUGCUAAUACCGCAUGUGAUCUGAGGAUGAAAGCGGGGGACCGCGCAGCAAUGUUUGGCCUCGCGCCUUUGGAGCGGCCGAUGUCGGAUUAGCUAGUUGGUGGGGUAAAGGCCUACCAAGGCGACGAUCCGUAGCUGGUCUGAGAGGACGACCAGCCACACUGGAACUGAGACACGGCCCAGACUCCUACGGGAGGCAGCAGUGGGGAAUUUUGGACAAUGGGCGAAAGCCUGAUCCAGCAAUGCCGCGUGCGGGAAGAAGGCCUUCGGGUUGUAAACCGCUUUUGGCAGGAACGAAACGGUGUCCGCUAAUACCGGGCGCUAAUGACGGUACCUGCAGAAUAAGCACCGGCUAACUACGUG